rnacentral:rRNA from 1 species
CCCUUAGAUGUUCGGGGCCGCACGCGCGCUACACUGAAGGAAUCAGCACGUCUUUCUCCUUGUCCGAAAGGACUGGGUAACCCGCUGAACCUCCUUCGUGCUAGGGAUUGGGGCUUGUAAUUCUUCCCCAUGAACGAGGAAUUCCCAGUAAGCGCGAGUCAUAAGCUCGCGUUGAUUACGUCCCUGCCCUUUGUACACACCGCCCGUCGCUCCUACCGAUUGAAUGAUCCGAUGAAUACCAUGGAUUGAGAGUACGAAUAGGUUCGCUUAUUUCUGCUUCUCGAGAAGUGGAGUAAAUCUUAUCAUUUAGAGGAAGGAGAAGUCGUAACA